CACGUAGGGCGCAAGCGUUGUCCGGAAUUAUUGGGCGUAAAGAGCUCGUAGGCGGUCUGUUGCGUCCGCUGUGAAAACUCGGGGCUUAACCCCGAGCCUGCAGUGGAUACGGGCAGACUAGAGGUAGGUAGGGGAGAAUGGAAUUGCAGGUGUAGCGGUGAAAUGCGUAGAUAUCUGCAGGAACACCCGUGGCGAAAGCGGCGCGCUGGACCACUACUGACGCUGAGGAACGAAAGCUAGGGGAGCAAACAGG
rnacentral:rRNA from 1 species